CGCGUAGGCGGCGUCGCAAGUCCGUGGUGAAAUCUCCAGGCUCAACUUGGAGUCUGCCACGGAAACUGCGGUGCUUGAGUGUGGGAGAGGUGCGUGGAAUUCCCGGUGUAGUGGUGAAAUGCGUAGAUAUCGGGAGGAACACCUGUGGCGAAAGCGGCGCACGGGACCACAACUGACGCUGAUGCGCGAAAGCUAGGGGAGCAAACAGGAUUAGAUACCCUGGUAGUCCUAGCCCUAAACGAUGAACACUUGGUGUGGCGGGUACCCAAUCCCGCCGUGCCGGAGCUAACGCGUUAAGUGUUCCGCCUGGGGAGUACGGUCGCAAGGCUGAA
rnacentral:rRNA from 1 species